GCCCGGCGCAGUGGCACACGCCUGUAAUCCCAGUGGCUUAGGAGGCUGAGACAGGAGGAUCGCGAGUUCAAAGUCAGCCAAAGCAAUGGCGAGGUGCUAAGCAACUCAGUGAGACCCUGUCUCUA
rnacentral:sRNA from 1 species